CCGGGCCGCGAAAGAGCCGGGUCCGCUGCGGGGGGUUCCUCAGCCCGGUGGGGCCGCCGAGGGCCGGGCUGAGCGGCUGUCCAUCACCGGACGUGGGGCACCAGAGUCCUCUGCACGUGCAGUGCACAGCAAUCCCGCAGGUGUGGGCUGGGAGCUCGUGGAAAUAACCCUUCGCCCUCGGAGGAGCGGCCCCGAAGCUCUCUGCCACUUUUCUCCCUCUCCACCUGGAGAAGAGACACGGGGGAACACCCGAUGAUCGCCCCGUCCCGGCCCCCGUGGGAUGCGCCUUUAUGGACAGCGAUGCCCGGCCCCGGCCACACCACCUCUUCCCGCUGUGCGCCCCGUCCGUGCGGAGGGAACCCCGGCACCCCCUGAGCCCCCCCACCCUCAGCCUGUUUAGAUUUCUCUCCGAAUGUUUCCCGUAAUCCAGAUUUCUGGAAAAUAACCACACGCGGGCAGACGCGGCCACGAACGCCGCUGAAGUUUAUCCGGAAUUUGACCAACGUAUAAACACAUUUCCAGCCCGUUCGGCGGGGCGGGCGCUGGGUGACCCCUGCCCGGCACCGGGGCUGCACCGCGCUCCGCCCUCGUUACCUCCGCGCCGCUUUGAUCCGGAGCCCUCCGAGCUCCGCCGCUUGAUUGAGUUUUUCAUUAGGGCUGCAGAACAGCACUGCCCCGGGUCUGCAGGAGAGCGCUGAGAAAACAAAGGCAGCCCAAACAAAUCACCGCUGCCCGCAGCAGUGACAGCGCGCAGUGCUGCACCUGUCCUCACGCUGCUCUCAGUCGCUGGGACCCAACGCCGCGUGGACAGCCGUCCAUCAUUGCUCUGAUUCACAUCUCCAGAGAGCAGCGCUGCCCUGAGCCGCUCUGCAUUUCCCCUCCAUGCUGAAACCCUUUCCUCGGUCCGUCUGUCCUUCCCACUUGCCAUCUGUCUCCCAUCCUUCGAAUAUCACCUUAAAAACAGUCCCUCCACCCUCACAUCGGGGUCCCCCACUCACUCACUGUGCCCUCCCACACGUGGGCUGUGUGUGCUGGCACCGUCCGGGCACCGGGAUGUGUUUGGCAUCGGCCCCAUCUUACGGCCCUAUAAUAAUAUUGUAAAUCCUCACCGGAAAGUAAUUACACCCCAUAAAAGGAGCAGCAGUCUGUGGUCGGAGCCAGGGCCGCUCUGUGACACCCAUUUUAAAGAGAUGUUUCGUGCCUUAUUUAUAGAUUAGAUUUUAACCUGACAACCUUUUAACAUUGUAUUAAAUCAGAAAUUAACUCCG
rnacentral:lncRNA from 1 species